GCAACGUAUGGUGCAAAGUGCCGUAUUAAGACCUUUCCCUUAAGGAAAAGAAGAAGAAAAAAAGAAAAACAAGGGGGAAAAAGAAAACAGGGUAAAGAGAAAAAGAUCAUGCAUAAACCUAAGCGUUUCACUGGAAGUAAAACGCGAGUUUAUCGCUUCCUUACAGAGAUGGAACCAAGGACAGCAAAUGCUGACGAGGAGAAGAGACGGACGAGCGUUUGCUUGCGGUUAAUACCGAAGGGAUGGGAUGAAACAAGGAAGCCAGAAUGCAGCGGCCCCUCGGUAUCACCAGGAACUACUACAGGAGGAGGCGUUCUGGCACGGGUAACUAGGAUUAAUUGCCACGGCUGAAGUUGAAGAGACCAAGAAACGUAAGCCGCGAAGGGGCACAUCUUGAAGAGAGGGGGCUAGACCUAGCGAUGCAGUUGUUCGUUUUGGUCGUCGCCUGUGAGGCCAGCAUGCAAGAGUAAGAGGAAGCUAGGAGCAGUCUCAAAAAGAGGUGGAACCAAGGACAGCAAAUGCUGACGAGGAGAAGAGACGGACGAGCGUUUGCUUGCGGUUAAUACCGAAGGGACAGGAUGAAACAAGGAAGCCAGAAUGCAGCGGCCCCUCGAUAUCACCAGGAACUGCUACAGGAGGAGGCGUUCUGGCACGGGUAACUAGGGUAAGUAUGGCUAAUGACCGUUAGC